UCGCCUGAGUUCUUCUCUAUUGAAAGCCCCGCCCCCUUGUUACGUCACGGUCUGUACCUGCUGAUCUCCAACUUAGCCUCUCGCUGUGAGGACACCGACGCCCUCGUUUCCCUGCUUUUUUGAUUUCUGUCCACACUCGCCCGGGGGUCAGACCCCACUGCUUCACCAGUUUGAAGGCUGCGCUCCAAGUUUCCGUCCCUCCACCCCGCCUCGCACCUCGAAGGAAGUUGUGCGGGUGCGUCGGAACUGAUAUUUCCUUCUUGUGGAAUUCUAGAGACAACCCCGUUCCCAGCUGGAGUCCACUCAGAUAGCGUGACCGCCAGGGCAUGGGGGUGUGAAACGGACCUACCGUUCGGGCGACCCCGGGGCAUCACGUCCGUACAGGCUAGACGUGAGCAUAACGGCCUCAUAGGAGUUCUUUCUUUUACGAUCCGUACGCACGACCGGCUGAGACCGGCUGGAGAGUCCUCGGCGCCCCUACUCCACUUAGGGGUCAGCGCGAGUGCCAGAAGGGCCUGGCACACCGUGGGCGACUUCGGAAGGCUAGGGCGGCCGGCCUUCUAGACUAGAAGAUCCAUACUUGGAAGCGUGGUUUCUUGUGGCGUUCCGGUAGCGCGCCGUGAUCGUAUAGUGGUUCUUCUAUUUCCUCAAAAAGAAACCCAUGGGUAGAUCCAGCAGGACGAGUCCUGUCAUGAGGCCUAAAUCUCAUUCCUGAGGAAGAAUGUAGGAGCUGCCUCUCAGAAGCAAAGGUUUAAAUCAGUGGUUUCCAAACAUUAUUCUAGAACUCAUAAACAGGGAUGAAGUUUUCAUCAUGGAAUAAGAGAAAAUAAGGUCAAUGUGGUGUCCUGGAGGGCAGUGCUUUGGGCCUGGGUCUUCAACUUGCCUUUGGGAUUUUGGUCAUCAGAAAUGAUCCUCAAUUUAAUGACUUCAAUGGCUGGGAGACCAGGUUCAGGUCACCUGGUUUUUGCAAAUCACCAUGAGUACCACUUGUCACAGAUACCCUGGCUGUGGCAGGAAACAUCUUUGAGGGGUUGGUAAGCACUCGAAGGCAUUUUGAUCUUCUUUUCUUUGGGGAACACAAAGUGGAGCAGAAAACAGAUUGAGAGAAAGUAUGCUUUCUGGACCGCACUGCAAUAGCAGGAAGCCUGACAACACCAUCACCUGCAAAAACAGUCUCACAAGCGGGAGGAGCGAGCAGGAAAAUCUGGUACUGAACUCGAUCUCAGCAAAUGCUACGCCGACUCCUAGGGCUAAGAGGCACCCUCAGAAGGCUGAAGUAAUUUGGUCAGAAGAAGACUGGGCGGCCCAGUCCUUCCUGGGAGGCGCGCAACGGAGACCAAACGCUCUCGGGCUCCUUCCUGGGGGCGGGGCAAACAUGCCACUCGGCGUCCCGGGAGGCGCCAGAGCGCCUGCGGCAGGUUUCCGCCUGGAAGUCGCACCCUCUCCCCGUGCCCCACACCCGCACCUCAGGUACAGGAUUCUCAAGCAGAAAAGGGUGGAGGCUAAGGGAGAGCGGGCAAGAGAAAAGAGGACCGGAGAAGUGGGGGUUGUGGAAGGGGGGCUCUGGUGGGAUGUGGGGUAUCAGUGUGGAAAGGAGACCUUGGGCUUGAGGAAAGGAGGAGAGUGGCAGACUGGGUCACUGAAUGGGUGGAGUCGGAUUUCUAAACUGGAAAGCGUCUCCUGCACAUUGUUCCACAGCCUGACGUCUUUGCUUAUGUGUGGGGCCGUCUUUCUAGGCCAGUACAUACAGAUCUCCCUCGUUUAUUUUAUUGGCUACAUGAUAUUACGUAUAAGUAGGUACGCUAAGGUAUGUGUUUCCUUAUUAAUGGACAUUUAGAUUGGCUUGUAUUUGGCCAGUUAUUUCUAGAGACUUGAGGUAGGCAAAGUUUGUGUUUGACUCCCACUUCUGACUCACCUUUAGAUUCCUGAUCUACUCUUGGUGAAAGCCCUUGGCUAAGCUAGUGGUUGUCAAGUAUUUAAAGGGCUAUCACCUCUGUGGGAAUAAUUGCCUUUUAAGACAGGAAUACAAAGAUUAGGAGCCAGAAGAUCUGGAGUCCUGACCAGAGUCCCUAUGCAGCCAUGUGAGUGGUCUUAGUCUAGUUCUGUUUCUGCAUAUUGAAUGUGAUGAUGAUCAUAUGUACCUUACAAGCUGCUAGAAAUUUGAAUUAAUGCAUGUGAAAAAACCAUAUUGUGUAAAUGGUAAGGUGCUCCAAAGAUAUUUUUUUUUUUAAUUUUUUAAAUGUUUAUUUAUUUUUGAAAGACACAGUGACAGUGAGAGCAGGGGAAGGGCAGAGAGAGAGGGAGACACAGAAUCCAAAGUAGGCUCCAGGAUCUGGGCUAUCAGCACAGAGCCCAACAUGGGGCUUGAACCCACAAACUGUGAGAUCAUGACCUGAGCCGAAGCCGGAUGCUUAACCCACUGAGCCACCCAGGUGCCCCAGAUAUUCUUUUCACAAGUAAAGUGUAAGGACCUUAUAUAGAGAGGCUUUGCUUCUUUAUACAUAAACAUUUGCUUGGCACUUAUCACUCCUGGCAUUGCUUAACAAGAUUUACAUUUUUUUUCUUUUCCCUCCAUUUAAUCCAUACAACAACCCUUUGAAGAAGGUACUGGUAUUAUCCCAGUUUUCCUUUUUCUUUUUUUAAUGUUUGUAUAUUUUUGAGAGAGAGAGAAAGCAUAAGUAGGGGAGGUACAGAGAGAGAGUGGGACAGAGGAUCUGAAGCAGGCUCUGCACUGACAGCAGAGAGCCUGACAUGGGGCUUGAACUCGCAAACCACGAGAUCUUAACCUGAGCCAAAGUCAGCCAUUCAACUGACUGAGCCACCCAGGUGCCCUUUUCCGAGUUUCCUCCUUUUCAAAGGAGGAAAGAGAGGCUUAAAUUAAGUUGCUUAAUUAAUUAAAUUAACUUGCUCCCUACAGUCACAUAGUAAGUGACAGCUGGGAUUUGAGCCCAGGUGUGACUGAUUCUAAAGCCCUUAUUCUUGGGGUGCCUGGGUGGCUCAGUCGGUUGAAUGUCCGACUUCAGCUCAAGUCAUGAUCUCAUGGCUUGUGGGGUUGAGUCCCCGCAUCGUGCUGUGUGUUGACAGCUCAGAGCCUGCAGUCUGCUUCAGAUUCUGUCUCCAGCUCUCUCUGCCCCUCCCCCACUUGUGCUCUGUCUCUAAAAUAAAUAAACGUUAAAAAAAAAUUAAAGGCCUUACUCUUAACCACUAUGUCCACUCUUAUAACAUCUCAGCCCUUCCUGCCUUCCUUCUCCAUUCCAGGCCCACAGGUUUAACCCAAAUGAUCUCAUCAGUUUCUAAAGUAUUUAUACUUUCUGAACUACUUGUGUGCCAAUCAUGUCCUGCUGUGUGGCAUCUUUUGUAUUUUUGUCUCAUUUUGCUAUUUGUCUUACUGUUGGCUUCUGUUGCAGCAAGUAAAAAAAUGAUUGCUAUUCAAGCUAGCAAUUCCCUCAAAGACAGAAUUGUGUUCAUUCAACAAGUUGCUUUUAUCAGCUCUCUGAGUGUGGAGCUUCAUAGGAGCAGAGAGCAAAUCUGUUUUGUUACCAAAGCCGUAGGAGCUAGCACUGUGCCACACACACACACACACACACACACACACACACACACACACACACACAAGUUGUUUAAUAUUUGUUGAAGAACAAAGAAGAUGAAACUCCAAGGGUUUGGGCUUGAAUACCUGGGGCACAACAAAAGGAGAGGAAAUGUCUGGCAAAUCAAAGAACACAGAUAAAGCACUUAUACUUCCUGGUACAAAAUAACAUUUUUUAUUUUUUAAAUGUUUACUUAUUUAUUUUGAGAGAGGGAGAGAGAGAUUGAGAACGUGAGUGGGGGAGGGGCAGAGAGAGAGGGAGGGAGAGAGAAUCCCAAGCAAGCUCUGUGCUAUCAGCUCAGAGCCCGAUACAGGGCUUGAACUUGCCAACCAUGAGAUCAUGAUCUGAGCCAAAAUCAAGAGUUAGAAGCUUAACUGACUGAGCCACCCAGGCACUCCCAAAAUAGGAUUUUAAAUCCAUGUUAGUUAUUAUUGCUACAUAAGUAUAAUAUGAAUAGGUUUGUGGAAAGGUAGAAAAUGGGAAGGCAAAAAAAAAAAAAAAAGGAAGAAAUGGAGCAAAAUGAUACUGGGCUAGGGCUAUUUGUGAAGAGAUGGCCAGUGAGGACUUCUCAUAGGCAGAAUAGGGCAAAGGGCACUUAAGAACAAGGAUACCGGGGCACCUGCAUGGCUCACUUAGUUAAGUGUCUGACUCUUGGUUUCAACUCAGUUCAUGAUCUCAUGGUUCAUGGGAUUGAGCCCUGCAUUGGGUUCUGCAGUGACAGUAUGAAGCUUGCUUGGGAAUCUCUCUCUCCCUCUCUCUGCUCCUCCCCUGCUCAUGCUGUCUUUCUCUCUCUCUUAAAAUACACAUUAAAAAAAAGAGAGAAAACAAAGGUACCUAAUAUCUACCCUGCCUUAACUCCAACAGCUUUGCCCUCAAAUCUUCAAUAAAAGUCCACUGUCUAUAUAUUCCACUGCCAGUGGUAUUUUGGAGAAUUCAAGAAUUCAGAUGGUGUGCAGUGUUGAUGGUGUGGUAUAGGCAGUCCAGUCAACAGAGAUUCUCAUUUAGGACGCUGGUGCAAAACCAUUUCCAUUAAGUCUUAUAGGAUGGGAGAUUCUCCAGUGGAUGACUUUUGGGACAUCAAGACAGCUAAACCUAAAGUUACACUUCUGUGGUUACUCUAUUUAUUCUGUGUACAUUGUAUGUAUGUCAUGUCCUCCCAGCUGGAUUGUAAAUUUUUGCAACUAGAAAUGACGAGAAAUGAGUAGAAUUUGUAUGGCACUUUUCUAUGUUUGAAUUUCUUUUCUUUACACUAACUCACUGAAAUUAACAAAACCUUUUGUGGUAGGUGUGAUGGUGUCAUGGUCCAGCCCCCCUCCAUUUUAAAGACAAGGACAAUCAGGCAGACAGAGGUUAAAUGCUUGCUUUUGGUUACAAAGCUAACAAGGACCAAAGCCAGCCUUGUAUAGUGAAAAAGGACAUGGCUUAUUAAGGCUUUUCACUCUCUGGAUCAUAUCUAGCUUUCCAAUCUCCUUCUUACCACUGUCUCAUGCCACCUGUCCAAGUACACUAUCACCACACAGAACUAUUGACUUUCCCUAAGAAAUCUAUACCUAAGUGACUUUGGAAAAGGCACCUAACCUCUCAGAGCCUCUGUUCUCAGUUAUGCAAAUGAAGAUAAUAAUGGCUUUGUUAAAGUGUUGUUGUGGAGAUUAAAUGUCUUAACCUUAAAGCACUUGGAACAUAAAGAUGUUUAAAGAAUGUUCUCUCCUUGGUUCCCUGGCUUUCUUUCUCUUUAAUAUCUUCCAACUUAAAGUUCAAUACUUCCUGCAGAAUUCUACCAUAUAUUCCUUAUAUUUCUCUGCAACUUUGAUGACACCUGAUUCCAUAUCCUGUGCAAGUCCUACCACUCUUCCUGGGACCAAAGAUAGUCUCAGAAGGGGCUAGAGGCUGGUAGCUAGAGGCUGCUCGGGAUGGCUUGAAGCAUCCAGACAGGAGCCUCCUGCCAUGUUUAGGGCACAAGGCCAAAGAUCAGAACUGAUGAAACCAAAUCUGUUCUUAGGUGAUGGGGAUGAUGUAGAUCAGGGAAAAGAGACAACUAGGUCAUCAAAUGAAUUCAAAACAAAUACGAGACACUCAUGGUAAACACUAGUCAUCAACAAGAAGAGCAUGACAUAAGAAAUUACAUUAGAAGAAUUACAUGACAUAAGAAGCUUACAUUUUUCAUUAGACUGAGUAACUUCUAUCAGUUUUUAUUUUUAAAAACUCAACUCUUGCUUCCAGAAAGGCAAAGGCAUAUUUUUGAAUUCCCCAAAUUCACUCUUUCACUGUCUCAAGGCUCAUGUUUAUCACAUUCAAACGUACAGAGAUUUACUUUGACUAUAAAAAUCCUUUCCAUAUAUUUUAAGCAGGAAUCCAAACAGGAAUAUUGAAGCCAUUUUUAACUUAGAGAACAGUAAUUUCUUUGCCGAAAUCAUAUUUCUACUUGUCAAGAGCUGUCAUUCCCUCAGGGGAAGUAAACAUUUAUGUCUGUGGCACUGAAUGCCUCAUAAAGAAACAUUAGAGGAGGGUAACCCCUUUUCCAUGGUGACAAGACUGAUUUGAAUUAUUCAUUAAGUGAAGGAUAUUCAUUUAUGAUUAACCAAACUCAGGAUGAUGCAGAAAAUUUCCCAAAGAACAUAUUAUCCUUCAGGUAUUUUACAAUGGAGGGCUCCUGUAUUCAUGGUUUUAGAAGCAAACGAUGACUCUGUGAAUGGAGAAAUUAUCCUUCAGCUACAUGGCUAUAACUUAUAGAACAAAAAACAAUACCAAUUUAUUUCCUUAGUGGAUUUCAGAGACCAGUUAGAUGUUUAAAAUAAUUUUUUAGAGUAGCUAGACAAUGGAAGGCAUUAUGAUAGUCAUGUUUUUAUAAAGGCAAAGUGCUCAGCUGCAUUGCAUAACUACAUCCCGCCUGGCUGGUGGCCACCAUUAUUAUGAAUUUGUUGUAAAUGCAUUUGGCUGCUUGGCUGUCUCCUACUGCUGUAGACAACAGCCCAUGGCAUUGUUGAACCACUCACAUGUGUCUGGCUCUGUAUCAAAGUGCUGACUGAGUCCAGCGGUGCUUAAUAAAGUCUUAGAAGGUGGGAGAAAUGCUCAUAACAGUCAUAUCACAUAAUAGUCACACACAAAAAUCUCAAUUACUAUUAAUAAUAACAGUAACAUUUGCUGAGCUAUGGGUAGCCACUUAUACUGGGUAUUGCCUGACUGAGUCCUCACAAAAACCCUAUGAGACAUCCAAUUGUCAUAAAGCCAUAGCCAUAGCCCCUGCUGCUAUCUGGCCCCCACAUGUAGAACCCUAGGAGGAGGGACCAAAGCACCUGAAAAUUAGCCAGAAUAGACUGCAGAGGCUCUAGCUUCCCAAGAAGCUACCUAAUUGGGCUGGGUAAAACAAUCCAGAAGUGUUGAGGAGUUAAAGUCUGGAGGUGUGGUAAACCUUAACCAAUGAGAUUGGAGACAGAAAGAAGCCAGCAUUGUAAACGCUGCCUCCUGUGUGGUGGAUGGUUCUGAGAAGCAGUAGCUUUGUAAGUACUCUCUGGAGAUGCCCUGUAAGAUGAAACAAUCAGCUUUGUUUGCAAUGAAGCUAUGUCCAUCUUGGUAAUACAUCCCUUAUGUUUGUUUUUGCUUUUUCACUACUUCACUUCUGUUUUCUCUCACAUGUACUUCCCUGGGGGAAUUGCAUCCAUCAAUAAAACAUUUGCACAUAA